CGCGGCCUAUCAGCUUGUUGGUGAGGUAAUGGCUCACCAAGGCGACGACGGGUAGCCGGCCUGAGAGGGUGACCGGCCACACUGGGACUGAGACACGGCCCAGACUCCUACGGGAGGCAGCAGUGGGGAAUAUUGCACAAUGGGCGCAAGCCUGAUGCAGCAACGCCGCGUGAGGGAUGACGGCCUUCGGGUUGUAGACCUCUUUUAGUAGGGAAGAAGCCUUCGGGUGACGGUACCUGCAGAAAAAGCACCGGCUAACUACGUGCCAGCAGCCGCGGUAAUACGUAGGGUGCAAGCGUUGUCCGGAAUUAUUGGGCGUAAAGAGCUCGUAGGCGGCUUGUCGCGUCUGCUGUGAAAACCCGAGGCUCAACCUCGGGCCUGCAGUGGGUACGGGCAAGCUAGAGUGCGGUAGGGGAGAUUGGAAUUCCUGGUGUAGCGGUGGAAUGCGCAGAUAUCAGGAGGAACACCGAUGGCGAAGGCAGAUCCCUGGGCCGUAACUGACGCUGAGGAGCGGAAGCAUGGGGAGCGAACAGGAUUAGAUACCCUGGUAGUCCAUGCCGUAAACGUUGGGAACUAGAUGUAGGGCCUGUUCCACGGGUUCUGUGUCGUAGCUAACGCAUUAAGUUCCCCGCCUGGGGAGUACGG
rnacentral:rRNA from 1 species